rnacentral:rRNA from 1 species
CAGUCGAACGAGUUCUGAUUAUUGAAAGGUGCUUGCAUCUUGAUUUAAUUUUGAACGAGUGGCGGACGGGUGAGUAACACGUGGGUAACCUGCCCUUAAGUGGGGGAUAACAUUUGGAAACAGAUGCUAAUACCGCAUAAAUCCAAGAACCGCAUGGUUCUUGGCUGAAAGAUGGCGUAAGCUAUCGCUUUUGGAUGGACCCGCGGCGUAUUAGCUAGUUGGUGAGGUAACGGCUCACCAAGGCAAUGAUACGUAGCCGAACUGAGAGGUUGAUCGGCCACAUUGGGACUGAGACACGGCCCAAACUCCUACGGGAGGCAGCAGUAGGGAAUCUUCCACAAUGGACGCAAGUCUGAUGGAGCAACGCCGCGUGAGUGAAGAAGGCUUUCGGGUCGUAAAACUCUGUUGUUGGAGAAGAAUGGUCGGCAGAGUAACUGUUGUCGGCGUGACGGUAUCCAACCAGAAAGCCACGGCUAACUACGUGCCAGCAGCCGCGGUAAUACGUAGGUGGCAAGCGUUAUCCGGAUUUAUUGGGCGUAAAGCGAGCGCAGGCGGUUUUUUAAGUCUGAUGUGAAAGCCCUCGGCUUAACCGAGGAAGUGCAUCGGAAACUGGRAAACUUGAGUGCAGAAGAGGACAGUGGAACUCCAUGUGUAGCGGUGAAAUGCGUAGAUAUAUGGAAGAACACCAGUGGCGAAGGCGGCUGUCUGGUCUGUAACUGACGCUGAGGCUCGAAAGCAUGGGUAGCGAACAGGAUUAGAUACCCUGGUAGUCCAUGCCGUAAACGAUGAAUGCUAGGUGUUGGAGGGUUUCCGCCCUUCAGUGCCGCAGCUAACGCAUUAAGCAUUCCGCCUGGGGAGUACGACCGCAAGGUUGAAACUCAAAGGAAUUGACGGGGGCCCGCACAAGCGGUGGAGCAUGUGGUUUAAUUCGAAGCAACGCGAAGAACCUUACCAGGUCUUGACAUCUUUUGAUCACCUGAGAGAUCAGGUUUCCCCUUCGGGGGCAAAAUGACAGGUGGUGCAUGGUUGUCGUCAGCUCGUGUCGUGAGAUGUUGGGUUAAGUCCCGCAACGAGCGCAACCCUUAUGACUAGUUGCCAGCAUUUAGUUGGGCACUCUAGUAAGACUGCCGGUGACAAACCGGAGGAAGGUGGGGAUGACGUCAAAUCAUCAUGCCCCUUAUGACCUGGGCUACACACGUGCUACAAUGGAUGGUACAACGAGUUGCGAGACCGCGAGGUCAAGCUAAUCUCUUAAAGCCAUUCUCAGUUCGGACUGUAGGCUGCAACUCGCCUACACGAAGUCGGAAUCGCUAGUAAUCGCGGAUCAGCACGCCGCGGUGAAUACGUUCCCGGGCCUUGUACACACCGCCCGUCACACCAUGAGAGUUUGUAACACCCGAAGCCGGUGGCGUAACCCUUUUAGGGAGCGAGCCGUCU